GCUUGCUUCCGCCGACGACCGGCGCACGGGUGCGUAACGCGUAUACAAUCUACCUUAUACUGGGGUAUAGCCUUUAGAAAUGAAGAUUAACCCCCCAUAGUCUCUUAGAGUGGCAUCACUUCUAGAGUAAAGGUUACGGUAUAAGAUGAGUAUGCGUUCUAUUAGUUUGUUGGUGUGGUAACGGCACACCAAGACUACGAUAGAUAGGGGCCCUGAGAGGGGGAUCCCCCACACUGGUACUGAGACACGGACCAGACUCCUACGGGAGGCAGCAGUGAGGAAUAUUGGACAAUGGAGGCAACUCUGAUCCAGCCAUGCCGCGUGCAGGAAGACUGCCCUAUGGGUUGUAAACUGCUUUUAUACAGGAAGAAACACCUCUACGUGUAGAGGCUUGACGGUACUGUAAGAAUAAGGAUCGGCUAACUCCGUGCCAGCAGCCGCGGUAAUACGGAGGAUCCAAGCGUUAUCCGGAAUCAUUGGGUUUAAAGGGUCCGUAGGUGGAUAAUUAAGUCAG
rnacentral:rRNA from 1 species